CUGGACCUCGGAUCAGGCCAGGCUACCCGCUGAAUUUAAGCAUAUCAAUAAGCGGAGGAAAAGAAACUAACAAGUAUUCCCUUAGUAACGGCGAGCGAAGCGGGAACAGCUCAAAUUUGAAAUCUCCGGUGCCUGCACCGGCGAAUUGUAGUCUAUAGGGCCAGUUUCGCCCGACGCAGCGUCCCCAAAGUCGUCCUGGAAAGGCGGGCCAGAGAGGGUGAGAGCCCCGUGUGCGGGGGCACUGCGGAGGGUAAGAUCUGUGCCCGAAGAGUCGGGUUGUUUGGGAUUGCAGCCCAAAAUGGGUGGUAAACUCCAUCUAAAGCUAAAUACUGGCACGAGACCGAUAGCGAACAAGUACCG
rnacentral:rRNA from 1 species